ACCCCGUUAAUUGAGAGGUAAUGAUCCUUGGCAUUUUCAUCUUCAAAGCCAGGAACAAACUGUAAUUAAUGCUCCCACCACCCGGGGGCAGGGUGGGGUGUAGGGAACCUUGAGCUACUGCUACUCAGGGAAACUGAGGCAUUGGUGGAAAGUCCUUAGGAAAGAGGAACGGAGCCCAGCAUAUGCUGGGAUCUUCGGGGAGCUGGGAACACAUCAGAGCAAUGCCCUCUCCAAAACCUUGGCAGCCUGGAGAGAGUUGGGGAGAAGCCAAGGUCGUGUGUUGGAUGGGAGACCUACACAGGCCUCACCACAGGUAGUAGCAGGGUAACUGGGUUUGCUGGUGGCUGAGCUUAAGGAGCUUGGGCCCAGGCUGUGCCUAGUUUCCCAAAGCACGGCCUGGGAUGCUUCAGGAGUGGACCUUGCAGUCCCCAGCGUGUGCUGCCGUCUCUGUAGAGCGCAGAGGGAGAGGACGUGGAAGUCCUUCGCUCCCAAAUGCAGGCGGGCUCCCCGCACAUUCAGAGUGACUCAUCAGGCGACUCCCGAAAUGCCUCCCGGUUUCUUCAUCUCAGUCUGGCUACCCCAAGCCCGGAGGGAGUUUUUCAUUAGCAUGAUUAUCCUGCUGUUGUUAAAAGCUGGUAAAUCUCACCCAGAGACCGAGGCCGGGAGCAGCCUCUGAACUGCAGUCUGAGUUCAUAGGUCCCCAGCUGCGGGCCAGCGGCGCCACUCAACGUCUCCCGUCACCAGUUCAAACCCAGAUGUCCAAACCCAGAUGUCCGGGUACCUGGGGCAAGACUCUCAGGCUUUGUGCGGUCUCAGGGACGCCAUCUCCCCCGUCUCCCACCCUCCAAGUGCUCACCCCCAGGGCAUACAGCCAAGUUCUGUUCUACCGGAUAUCACCCUGGGCAGGACAGGGGGGUGGGUUUUCACAGCCUUACACCUCAGUCUUCUUGGCGGGAAUGUUGUGGGGAUGCCUUGUUCACAGGCUUCCCUAAUCCCCCUUCCCCAUUUGUGCACUUCCUUGAUAAAUGUGCCCCUUCAACACAAAGGCAGAAGAGUAACUUCUGAUUUUGUGUAGAUAUCCAUUGCAUCCCUAUUUCUUCCUGGCCCCAACACCAUCCCCAUCCACAUGGCAGGAGCAUCUGGUGUCUAGUAGGGCUUUGCCCUUUUCUUUUCUUUUCUUUUCUUUUCUUUCCUUUUCUUUCUUUCUUUCUUUCUUUCUUUCUUUCUUUCUUUCUUUCUUUCUUUCUUUCUUUCUUUCUUUCUUCUUUCUCUCUUUUUAACAAGUCUUCAGGGGGUUGUGUGCCCACGGCCCCAUCACACAUUGAGCUAAGGCACUGGUGAAAGGAGAUCAGGUCUUUGCAGUGGGGAAAGUCAGGUCCCGUGAGGCUUCAGGGUGGUGGGUAGGGAGAGUAAACAAAUACAGAUGAUCUGGUGGUAAGGAGUGUGGGUAAAAAUAAAUUAGGAAGAGAGGGUGAAGGGUGGUGAGGCCUAUCUUGGUAGCUACUCUUUGAUGCUUGCAUUUGGAGGUAUGGGUUGGUCUGCUGGCUUACCUGUCAAAGUACUGAGUUCCAACAUAUGGGUCAGAGUUUUAGUCCAGUUAUGUCUUGGCUUAUUAGAUGUUCUGAAAAAUUCCAUGUGAUUAUUUGUUUACUUCUUCACUUAGUCUCACCAGGGGCCCAUGGGAUGGCUCGUCAGGAGGGAUGCCAGCUGCUGAGCCGGACAACCUGAGUUUGGUGCUGAGGGAACCGACGCUGCCAGCUGCUGAGCCGGACAACCUGAGUUUGGUGCUGAGGGAACCGAUGCUGGAAGCUGUCCGUGCUUGUCGGACCAUGUGCAUCCCUAUGUGAAUGCACACACAAUUAAAAAAAAAAAAUCACACGGCACUAUUCUGUUGUCUGAUCUCAGCACACUCCCUGCAUGGGAAGAUGGAGAGCAGUAGACCAUGCAACCAGACAGAAGCGGAGGGGUUCCAGCAUCUCCAGGGCAGGGGCUGUAGCCCACCAUCGUUGUUCCCCUGGGAUGUCUGCACACAAUGGGCAGGGGUGUAGCUCCCCUUCCCUUUGCUACCCCGGUCAUCAAAAACCGAGGACCUGCAGCCUCAUAUAGAGCGUUGCUAACCACCAUGCCUCCCCUAACAUGAUAGACUGUGCCCUCUGAAACCGUUCGCCAAGACAAAUCCCUCCCCUAAUUUGUUCAUGUCUGAUCAAUGAGAAGAGUAACUAAUAUUUUCCUUAAGCGUGUGAACACGGAAGUGACCUGGAAGAUGGGACAGACUGGACCACCGGUUAGAGCCAAUCACCAGAUGCAUGUCUGAAAGAGACUCAAGAGAAGGGCGGACCUGCAAGGGGGAGGCCAGGCUCUGGUGUCAGGAACUACAUCGGGUUGUGGAGAGCCAAAGCCAUCCCAUCAGCAGGCUGAACCUUGAGUUCACAGAUCUCAGGCAAAGCCUUUCUCUUUUCCAGAGACUCAGCUGCCAUCCCAGGAGGGUUAUGGGACCUAGCCGGCUGAGCUGCCUCUCAGGUCAAGAGGGGAUGAGGGUUAGGCUGGGCUUUGGUUCCCUGUCAUGCCAAAGGUCAACAAGUGGCUCCCCUCAGAGCAUGUGCGCUUGGGAUCUGGGGUCCCAAAUGCCUCUCUUCUAUAAACAGUAAUUUUUAUUUGAGGUUUCAAAAAAAAAAAAAAACCCAACGCUAAUUUAUUUGAAUUCUGUGUGUGAAUGUGUGUAUGUGCUCGG